rnacentral:lncRNA from 1 species
GACCAGCCCAAACUGACACCCUCCUCUUGUGGCCUCCGUGCCCUCUCAGAUCCACCCACUCAGCCCCCCGCACUCCCCUUCCCCCUGCCACAUUCCCAAAUACCCCCUCCUCUCCUUGGCCAGCUCCGGGGCAGAAAGAAGAACUGGGUUUCCGGAUGCCCAGUUCCCUACUGGGGGAGGUGACAAUAAACAAACAAACAGCAACAAAAGAGAGCACAGGUCCAGGUUGGACCUUCUCCCAGUUAGCACCAAGACAGGUAGCCUGGCUAAGAAUCAGCAGGGAGGUGGAGGUGAGGGCACUCCAUCGCCUGAAGGGCUCCAGUGGAGUACCAGCUCCCUGGCCUGAAGAUGGUAAUCAGGUAAGCCGUCCACCCAGCAGACACGGAAGGAAAGCCAGAGAUGAAGAUCAAAGCAGCUCUGGGCUGGGUUCUGGCCUUUCUGAGAACCAGCACAGUGUGGAAGCCCCACGGAGCUGGAAGGUGCUGUCUGGAUACACCACCUUCCUCCCAGUUCCCAGCUGCUCAGCUAAAGUCAGUUUGAUCAUUUUCUGGGGCCUGGGGUGUAGACGGGUCAUAGUAUUUGGGAAUGGAUCUGGAUACAAAGACAGGAAUAAAGGAUACUUUAAAAGCAGUGGCCAAGAGGUCAUGGUGCGUGUGUGUGUGUGUGUGUGCCCGCGCGCGUGUAAUUAUACACCCAGACUGGAGAUGACAGGUAAAGGGCCUCCAGCACCAGGAAAUAAGAGAAUAGGCGCCGAGGACGGCAGAAAGGGGCAGGAACGCAAUGCCCAGGUCUGUCCGCCUAAGGCUUUCGGGAUUGGGAGAACAAGGAGCUUGAAAGGCUGGUGGGGCAGAGAGGGAUGAGGACCACCCCGCGUUCCAGGCUCAGGGGUGCUCCGUGGGGAGGAGAGAAUCCCAGCUACACAAAG